AUAGAUCAAUCAAUAAAAACAGAGGAUUUUUAACUUUAAGGGCAGAGGUAGUAUAUACCCAAAAAGAAAACUUAUCAGAGAUGGAGAGGAGUCUGAGUGCCAACGAUGGCCGCUUGGAUUACCAACGACUGGAACACGGUUCAAAAUGCACAGAGACAAAAAGGAGUUCUAAUCCUGUAAAAUUUCAAAUCUCUCUCGUACUUCCUCUAUGUUUGUGAACUCAUUUCCUUUUUUGUCUGUUCCAAAAAUAAUGAAUUCUUUCUAAAUUUGGUAACAAUUUAGCUUAAAAUUACAACUUUAUCCUUAAUGAGAAGCUUUUAUAACCACACAAAUACUCUGGGCUCCAUUUAGACUUGUCUAGGACAACAAAUUACAAACUCUUCAUUUUUUUCUUAAACUUGUGCACAUAAAUUGAAACGGAGGCAGUAUCAGAUAUCUAACAGCGGUUUUUAUCCCAGAUGAUCUCCUGAAACUGAUAAAAAAAAAAUUCCAUCUCAAGCAUCAAAUCAGAUAGUUGCUUUAAUCAUUUUGUUUCUAGCUAGAGAUGUUUGCACCAAUCAAGGGGAUCAUAUCACCCUAAUAGAGUUGCUAUUUACAUGACCAGAAAGAGAAAUCAGAAAUACUUGAUUACGCAUGUUUUCCCUAAGGUCAGUAGAAUAUAUAUAUAUAUAUAUAUAUGUAGGAUGCUAGUUCAAACUUAGAGUGAUAUUUAUGGAAUCUAAAUAUUCAAUUUCAUGUGUGUGAAUUUGUGUAAAUUGAAAUGUUGGGUAAAUGAUGAAUACCGAUUUGCUUAGUGGAUAGCCGUUCGCUAAGUAUUGAUUUUUUUUUCUUUUUUGCGGAAAUUGCCUAUAUAUUGUUCCUGAAGAUGGAGGAAUAACACAAACAAGAAGGUGACUCUUUCUCUUUAUAUGGUUAUUUGGUUUGUCAAGGAGCAUGAUAUAUGCCAAAGUUUGAUUAUUCAUCUAAGUUGCUACUGCUAAACUAUAGAAGUGGUGACAUGUACUUGCAACCUUUUAAAUUUUUUUUAGACAAUAAACAAAGUUCUUUUAUUAAUUAAUCACUAGUAACUGAGUAAUCCAGAAACAAUCCUGUUGCGUAAACCUUAACAUCAUUCAAUUGAAAGCAUAAUGUAUAUAUCUAAAAAAUUAUAGAACUUCACAAAGUAGGGGGAAAAAGAUUGAAAGAAUACAAGGUCCAAAGAUUCCUCUUUAACUCUAACAAGACAUGGUCAGCAAAAAUAAUUCAAAUGGAUUCCGAUUGUGUUUUCCCCAACCCAACUACAAACUAACAUGAAUAAAAACUUUAUUUUCUGAAUUGCCAUGAAAUUAUGCAUCUCAACUCAGUCAAAUUAUUCCCUAUAGAUUUCACCUAUUCCUUUUUUUUUUUGUGCGAAACAUAAUAUUGCAUUAAACAUAAAUAAAAUUACUAGAGAGAGGGUGAUGCCUGUGCAUCGAUAAUAUAGUUGUUUUCUAGUUGUCUAUUACAAGGAUUAAUACUAUCUAUUCUAAUGUUGUUAUCCACCACAUUGUCUCCAUUGGAAGCAGUCAUUCGUUGAUCAUUGUCAUAGAUUACAAAAGUGUUAUGAUUCAUGUCCUCCUCUUGUUCCUGAUGUGUGCAUGUUGUCUUCCUAAAGCGAGUUGCUCCUUCCUGAUCCCUUUGCAAAAAGGUGCUCACAAAAAUCCGGUGGCUCUUCAAAAAUAGAUGGUCUUUCAUUAGAGGCCAUGUUGCAUCCCGCCUUUGCUAAACCAUCAGCCACCUCAUUCCCCUCUCUAUAGGUAUGUGCAAUGGUAACACUAUGCAGUUGGUCCAAGAGGUACCUGCAAUCAGUGAGUAUAUUAGUAUAAAUGAUGUUGUCCUUUUUUAACAUUGUAAGUACCUCUGAUGCAUCGAUGUUUAUUUCCAGCGGGACCAAAUUGUAUCUGUUUGUCAAUUUCAGUCCAUGGAAUAGGGCCUUUAGUUCUGCCUGGAUGAUGGUGGCAUUGUCCAAAUUGCCUGCAAAACCUAUAAUCUAAUUUCCAUUUGAAUCGCGUAUGGUUCCUCUUAUACCUGCUUUCUGAGUUAACGUUGAUAUAGCUCCAUCCGUAUUUAAUUUGUAGUAGUUUGGUUUAGGGGGUAUCCAUUUGAUAGGUUGCAUUAUAGGGAUUUUGGUUGUUGCUACCUUUGCAGCUAAAUAGGUAAAUUUCAGU
rnacentral:lncRNA from 1 species